CACGCCGUAAACGAUGAGUGCUAGGUGUUGGGUGUCAAAGCUCAGUGCCGGAGUUAACACAAUAAGCACUCCACCUGGGGAGUACGACCGCAAGGUUGAAACUCAAAGGAAUUGACGGGGGCCCGCACAAGCAGCGGAGCAUGUGGUUUAAUUCGAAGCAACGCGAAGAACCUUACCAGGACUUGACAUCGUCUGCUAGUUCAAGAGAUUGGACCUUCCCUUCGGGGACAGAUAGACAGGUGG
rnacentral:rRNA from 1 species